GCUUUUAAAGGAAAACAGUUUUCCUCUGGUCUUAGGAUCCAGCACUUCUCGGUGCAAAUCCAAGUAAAAGCU
rnacentral:tRNA from 1 species